GUGACAGAAGUGCCGGGUUAAAGAAAAAUUUAAAUUUGUUUAUGAAGAACGCAAAAAUCGGUCGAAGUUGUUUUGCCAAGGAAUAAUAAAGGAAGUUGUUUCUUUAUCGGUCGGGAUAGCAGAUGGCAUAAUAGAGGCGAAAAGGUCGAAAUUUACGAACCAGAAACAGUUGGAAUAUUUGUUGACGCUUUUGCUGCUUCAUCCGUGGCGCAUAUCUUCCGGACUACCUUCUCCAGAAUCUACAGCGAGGACAAAUGAUGGCUCCAGUUUUUUAACCAUCCCACCACACACCAGCGUUACGCGGAACAGCGUGCAGAUAUACGACGCAUCUCUGUAGGAUGCCCUCCCGCUCUCGAUUAAAAUGAAACCAACCAUUUCUUCCUUUAAAGCUGCCUUAACCAGACAUCACUGAGCGUUGGACUAAACAAUGCACUGGAUUUGUGAUUUUGAGAUUCUCCACCUAUUAGUAUUAAAACAUGCAACUUUCUUGACCUAAAUUAUACAAUGUAACAGGUAACAGGAAAAGACGCUCAAGAUUUAACUUUUUUCAUCACCAUGCCGGCUGUGGGGUGGUGGGGGGUUGGUAAAAGGUAUGUUAUAUACAAGGGGGAUGUUUGUAUUUUGUGGCCAAAUGCUACAAUUGGGGAGGGAGGGGUCGAAAAUAGUUGCGUCAUUUGUGUACGGCCCCUUUGCGAGGAAACCAUUUUUCGUCGCCCCAGUUAGUCUGGGUUCAAUCCCAGCCGAGGUCGUUGAGAUUUUUCUGAUGCGAAAAAAAUCUUUGGUGACGCUUUCCUUCGGAAAGGAAGUAAAGCUAUUGGAUCGAUAUCUAGUCCAGAUAGUGGCGUCACCUCUCUGGCGUCGGUAUUUGAUCUCGCAGCGGAAAUAGGCCGACGGAAAAAACUAUAACAUAAAGAAGAAGAAGUUCAGCUAAGACGUUUACUGCUCAUAAUCGCAAGUCAGUCCCAUGUUCUAUGGAAUUCCAUGUCUACAUGGGGCUCACUUCCGAUUAUAUGCUGUUUAGGUGGGGCUACUGUAAAAGCUCCAGCGAAUUGUA